AAACACUCCCCCCUCCUUCACUUUGCCAUUAGAUGUCUGCUGGGUUGCUGCCUAACACUUGAUCUGUAUUGUUCUUAUUUUCUUCCUGUGAUAAAGCCUCAAACACAAGAGCGAUAUCAGUUCCGCGCCGCUGAAGGCUGGGAGUUUUCUGGAAGGGAAGGCUUGGGGCUAUUACUCUUCCCGUGACAACAACAUUUGCUCCUGUGUUCUGAGGAAAAUGGCCUUUCUGAAAACGAUUUAUCUCAAGGUCACCACCUUAGAAGCAGAGACAGGAAAUGGACCCCUCUGUCUGCAAUGGUAAAAUGGAAAUAAUAGGUCAUGGGAGGACCUCAUUCUGAGGAAUCCGCAGGCAGGGAGUCUCCUCUCCACCUUGACAUGAAUGUGCUCCGUGGGUUCUCAUAGACCUGGUGAGGACUCAAUGAAGUGAUACCUGAAUGAGAGUAGCCACGCUAGUCACUAACUAGAAAAGGAUCUGUGACUUGGGCUUGUUUUUUACCGAAACUUUUAUGCACAAUUCCCUUCAAGGAGGUACAGAACAAACAA
rnacentral:lncRNA from 1 species